AGCGAACUGUAACUAGCCUGGCUUGCCUUUGCCAACUUCCAAUUUGCCUGAUGGUGGAUUGCCUAAUAAAGAGGUCACGAUUUAGACUGGAUGGAUGGACUUGCUUGAAGGAAUAGGAGUGGGAAUAGCAGGACAAGCACGAAGACUCUUUUAAGUUUUAAGUAAAGGGCACUCCUACGAAAGCUGAUUAUAGAUAUAUCCUCACAACAGAUACGAAUGCGGGUACAAGGGAAAGAGGGACUGAUGGAAAGACAGAAAUCAACGAAAGCCCCUUUUCCACGCAGUGGUAUGG
rnacentral:misc_RNA from 1 species